UUAAAAUAAGAAGAUCCUGUCAAUUUUUAAACUAGUAUUCUAUUUCAGCCCCUUUCAACUGGCUGCCCCUGGGCCAAAUGUGGCUUUAACUACCUCAUUCUGGCCCUUUCAUCGUUUUAUUAGCGGGCUAAUUGGCCCAUUCCUUAGUCAUGUCUGUUGCCAAGCACAGACCUACUCUCACUUCAUUAGUGAAGUUUCCACCCAGGCUGUUUCAGCAGAGGGAGAUCCUACUUCUAAGAUUCAAAAAGGCCAUUGUUUGUUUCCUGACAUUUUUUUCAUAUUCUAGAAAUAAAUAAAGUUGCAUUUAGUUUGGAGACAUUUAGUUUCUUCUUUACUUUUCUAUUUAAAAAAAGAAAUACAAGAUCCCCUAACAUCUCUCGUGUCUUGACUGAAAAUCUACAAAGUCUUAAAUCGCCGGCAGAGGUAUUUCCUUUGUGCCUGUGCGGAAGGAAAUAGCUCUCCGCAGAUAUACAAAGUGUUUUUAUGAUUGAGCAAGGCGAGGCAAGUUUUUUUGUAUCGCACAAUUCAGACACAAGGUAACUCAGCGUGUUUUACAGUGGCAUAAAAUUACAUUAAAAGACAUUAAAAACAAGUAGGACGACAUCAAGAAACAAAACAUUAAAACAAGGUAAGAAAUCGGAAAAUAAACUAAAACAGCACAGGUUUAAACGAGACAAGACUAAAGAAUAGACGUCACAGCGCAGCCUUGAAAUUGCUUCAGUAAAAAGCAGUGGCAAACAGAAAGGUCCUCAGCCUUGAUUUAAGAGAGGUGAGAGUUUGAGCAGACCUGUGGUUUUCAGGGAGUUUGCUCCAGAUAAGUGGCGCAUAAUAACUGAACGCUGCUUCCCCAUGUUUAGUUAUUGAUUCUAGGGACUGAAAGUAGACCUGUAGCUAAAGACCUCAGAGGUCUGGAUGGUUUCCUAACGUAGUAGCAGAUAUUCUGACAGGAAGCCAGUGUAGAUAUCUAAGAACUGGAGUGAGGUGAUAUACUUUUUGGUUAAUGUUAGGACUUAAGCAUUAGGGUUCUGAAUCAGCUGUCUGGUGGAUCUUUUAGAGAGUCAUGUAAAGACACGGUUACAGUAGUCAAGUCUGCUGAAGAUAAAUGCAAGUUUUUCCAAAUUCUGCUGAGACAUAAGUUCUUAUGUAGUUCUUAUUCUUAAGGUGAUGGUAGGCUUCCUUUGAAAUUGUCUAAGUCCAUGAUGACAACAAGGUUUCUGGCUUAGUCAGUUUUCAACAUUAUAGAUUGAAGCUGAGCAGAAACUGUUAGUCAUUAUUGCUUGGCUCCAAAAACAGUCAUGUCAGUCUUAUCUUUGUUUAACUGAAGAAAACCCAUGACACAUCCAAUAAUUGAUAUGUUCAACAUACCUACUCAGCUUUUGUAUGGGACUAAAGUCCCCUGGUGAUAUGGUUAUGUAAACUGGUUUGUCACCUGCAUAACUAUGGUAACAUAUCUUGUUGUUUUCCAUAAUCUGAGCUAGAGGAAGCAUUUAAAUGCUGAAUAGCAGAGGCCCCAGAAUGGAGCCCUGGGGUACUCCACUUGUCAUUUUCAUCCAUUCAGAAGUGUAAUUACCUAUGGACCCAAAGUAGCCUCUAUAAUUUAGAUAUGAUUUAAACCAAUUUGAUGCUGUACCAGAGAGUCUAACCCAGUUUUUCCACUCAGUCCAAUCGUGUAUUGUGGCUGAUCGUGUCAAACGCAGCACUGAGAUCCAGUAACAACUAAGACUGAAAUUUUACCACUGUGCUUAAAUAAAUGUCAUUGAGGAACUUGACAAGAGCAGGAGCAUUUUAAGUCACCAGUAUCGCUAUUAUAACUGCUUCUAACCAAAAAUAUGUCUUGUAAAUGGUACUGGUGAAGAGGCAAAGAAGAAGAAAGAAAGAAGAAGGAGAAACUCAGCUAAAUGGGUGAAAUCAUGCAGUGAUGGUGAACAAAAAGAAAAAGGGCACCAGCUGUAUGCAGUGGUGCAUGUCUUCAAGCCCAAGUCAAGUAAUCCUGAUGAUUUAAGUUAAGCCCAUAAUUGCAGCUCGAGGUUGGUGCCAUCUUUUCUCUAAGACCUUUCAAACAGGGUCUGUGGGUUGUUUCUUUCCAUUUUUGAUAUUUGUCAGCAAUACCUGUGAUAUGAAAUGUCAAAAUGUCUCCUUGAAUAAGGACCUGGUUUCGUGAACGCUGGCUCACUGUCACACUGUUGUCAGGCAUGAAAAUCACUCACCUUUCAGCAAAAUUUGCCGUUUUUAAACCAAAAUAGGUGACCUACGUGAAUUGCGUAGAAAGUAUUUUUGCGGGGGGGGUCUUAUGUUAUGUUCUGUAUUUUCCCAUUCCUCCUUUCUUGUCUGUCUCCCCCUGUCUGUCAGUAUCGUGUACUUCAUGCCUUCUCCUGUGUCAUUCCCUCAUCAUCUCACCCAUCCUCCUCCCUCCUCUCCCCUCACCUGUUCCUCAUUUCAUCAUUAGUGUCUGUGUAUUUAGUUUCUGCCUGCCCUCGUCUCUUUGUCCUGUCAUUACUUCUACUUCUGUUUGGUCUGUCUGUGGUGUUUAAUGUCUCCUGUGAGUUCCUCCCUCCGAGUUCCUUGUUUUUCCUGUUUUUAAGUGAGUGUGACGGAGUGUCGGCUGUGAUCAGGGCAGAGGGUCAGCGAACCAGAACAAACGUCUCACCUGACAAUAUUCUGUGACCAACCUCUGCCUCAGUAAGUUGUAUAAACAGGAUGAGUCAAUGCAAGAUCUUCACUGGAAAAGGUAAGAAAAACAAGUGGUUUCUCCCUUAUGGGGUUUAGUGUGUGUGUUUGUGUGUGUGUGUCUGUGUGUGAGAAAUUAUGGUUCGAAACAUUCUCAGUUGCAGUCGUAAUACAAGCGCAGUGCGAUCUCCUCAUCCCUAUUUACACUGAACCAAACUUUAUUUACAGUUCAUUCAAUUUAAGUGCUCCGCAAAGCUCGGCUAACUGUAAUCAGCGACAGCAGGCAUCCAAAAACAAACCAAAGCACUGUUAGAAACACGUAAGCAUGCAUAGGCUGGAAUGGGAACAGGAUCAGAAGCAAACUCUUGGUUCAAGUUGAGAAACCAAAUUGCGUGUUAGGACUGUGUGUGGUCGUUUCAAAAGAGAUUUGUGGAAAUAAACACUUCUGAUGGAGGAGGUACUAACUGUGACUGAUGUUGUAGUGGUUCUGUUCUAGUUUCUUGGUGUGUUUUUUUUUUUUUUUUUACAGUUUGGGAGACCCC